CUCAGACUGCUGUGCUAGCAAUCAGCGAGACUCCGUGGGCGUAGGACCCUACGAGCCAGGUGUGGGAUGUAAUCUCAUGUUGAGACAGGAUCUCACUAUGUUGCCUUGCAUGGACUGGAACUCCUUGGCUCAAGAAAUCUUCUUGCCUCAGCCUCCCAAAUAGCUAGGACUAUAUGCACAUGCUACUACACCUAGUGGAAAAUGAAGCACAGAGAAGUUCAGUGAUGGACCUCAGAUACUACCAGCAGAAAGCAGAAGAGCUAGGAUUUCAACUUAGGAUGUCUGGAUCCACAGUCUGCACUCCUACCCACUAUGCUACACUGCCUCUAACUAUGAGGAAGCAAGGGCAUUUUUUUUUUUCUGGUGACUAAAAAGAUAAGAGUUCAAGUAUGUGGCUCCUGAUAAUCUAACUUAUACAGCCUGGAAAAAUUGAUAGUUACUAUAUCCAGACUGUCUCAUUCAAUUAACAGUUUCUCAAGUAAUCUUCUAGUUACUGUCGUAUUUUAUCUGUAUCAACUUAGCAAACCAAGUCCAAAACAUUUUAUAUGUGUCUAUCUUUCCUGCUGUUCAUAUUAUUGAGUUAGCCAAAUAAAUUCAAUUUUUUUUCUACUGUUUGUUUCUCACAA
rnacentral:lncRNA from 1 species